rnacentral:tRNA from 1 species
GCCCACGAGAGCGCUGGAGGGUCUCUAGCCCUCCGGAGGCAGGUGUCGCAGGUUCGAAUCCUGCCGAGGGCA